ACCCAUGUCUUUUGAGUACUUACGUUUCCUCGGCGGGUCCGCCCGCCGAUUGGACAAUUUAAACCAUUUGCAGUUGCAAUCAGCGUCUGAAAAACUUUAAUAGUUACAACUUUCAACAACGGAUCUCUUGGUUCUGGCAUCGAUGAAGAACGCAGCGAAAUGCGAUAAGUAGUGUGAAUUGCAGAAUUCAGUGAAUCAUCGAAUCUUUGAACGCACAUUGCGCCCCUUGGUAUUCCAUGGGGCAUGCCUGUUCGAGCGUCAUUUGUACCUUCAAGCUUUGCUUGGUGUUGGUGUUUGUCUCGCCUCUGCGUGUAGACUCGCCUUAAAACAAUUGGCAGCCGGCGUAUUGAUUUCGGAGCGCAGUACAUCUCGCGCUUUGCACUCAUAACGACGACGUCCAAAAGUACAUUUUUACACUCUUGACCUCGGAUCAGGUAGG
rnacentral:rRNA from 1 species